rnacentral:rRNA from 1 species
GACGAACGCUGGCGGCGUGCUUAACACAUGCAAGUCGAACGGAAAGGCCCUGCUUGCAGGGUACUCGCGUGGCGAAAAGGGGAGUAACACGUGGGUGUUCUGCCCUGCACUCCGGGAUAUGCCUGGGGAACUGGGUCUAAUAUAGGAGAGGAGAGCUCCUGAGUGUGGUGGUUGGAUAGUUUUUUUGGUGUAGGAUGAGAUCGCGGCCUAUCAGCUUGGUGGUGGGGUGAUGGCCUACCAAGGCGGGGUCGGGUUGCCGGCCGGGGGGGGUGGACGGCCACAUUGGGGCUGGGAUUCGGCCCAGACUCCCACGGGGAGCAGCAGUUGGGAAAAUUUCACAAUGGGCGCGAGCCUGAUUCAACGACGCCGGGUGGGGGAUGACGGGCUUCGGGUUGGAAACUCGGUUCGCUAUGGACGGAGCUUUUUGUGACGGUACCUAGUAAAGAAGCACCGGCUAACUACGUG